UGGUCGCGCCGCUGCGGAAAUACGAAAGUACAUUCCAAAGCCAAAUGUGUUGACGCCCAUCAAGAACGCUGUGGGAGUUAUAUACUGCUUGUGCUUCGGUGUGUAACCCAAAAGAAGCUCUCCUUUACUGACUGGCACUCUUCAUAACACUCGGAUUUGAACACUUCUAGUGGCUCUAAAAUCACCAAAGCCUCUGGAUCACUAAUAGAGCACAAUGCUUACCUGGGACGAGUGUGAACUCCUGAUGUCAGAAACCAGCAAGGAGUUUGAAACAGUGAUGGAAGGCAAGGGUGACAUUUCUGACAGUGAACUACCAAACCUAAGAGAAGGUGAUCUCAUUUUGAGAAACAUGAUUGAUGAAUCCAGCCCACUUUAUCAUGCUGGGGUGUACUGUGGAAACGAAGAAGUCAUUGAGUUAACAG